UACGGAGGGUGCAAGCGUUGUUCGGAUUUACUGGGCGUAAGGCGCGCGCAGGUGGUUGAGCAAGUCGGAAGUGAAAUCUUGAGGCUCAACCUCGAGGCUGCUCCCGAAACUGUUCGUCUAGGGACUGGUAGAGGCUGGUAGAAUUCCCGGUGUAGCGGUGGAAUGCGUAGAGAUCGGGAAGAAUACCCGUGGCGAAGGCGGCCAGCUGGGCCAGGUCCGACACUGAGGCGCGAAAGCGUGGGGAGCAAACAGG
rnacentral:rRNA from 1 species